rnacentral:rRNA from 1 species
UACGUAGGGAGCAAGCGUUGUCCGGAAUCAUUGGGCGUAAAGCGCGCGUAGGCGGCCCUGUAAGUCCGCUGUGAAAGUCAAAGGCUCAACCUUUGAAAGCCGGUGGAUACUGCAGGGCUAGAGUCCGGAAAAGGCGAGUGGAAUUCCUGGUGUAGCGGUGGAAUGCGCAGAUAUCAGGAGGAACACCAAUAGCGAAGGCAGCUCGCUGGGACGGUACUGACGCUAAGGCGCGAAAGCGUGGGGAGCGAACAGG